rnacentral:rRNA from 1 species
AUGAACGCUGGCGGCGUGCCUCAUACAUGCAAGUCGCGCGAACGGACGAGAAGCUUGCUUCUCUGAUGUUAGCGGCGGACGGGUGAGUAACACGUGGAUAACCUACCUAUAAGACUAGGAUAACUUCGGGAAACCGGAGCUAAUACCGGAUGAUAUUUUGAACCGCAUGGUUCAAAAGUGAAAGACGGUCUUGCUGUCACUUAUAGAUGGAUCCGCGCUGCAUUAGCUAGUUGGUAAGGUAACGGCUUACCAAGGCAACGAUGCAUAGCCGACCUGAGAGGGUGAUCGGCCACACUGGAACUGAGACACGGUCCAGACUCCUACGGGAGGCAGCAGUAGGGAAUCUUCCGCAAUGGGCGAAAGCCUGACGGAGCAACGCCGCGUGAGUGAUGAAGGUCUUCGGAUCGUAAAACUCUGUUAUUAGGGAAGGACAUAUGUGUAAGUAACUGUGCACAUCUUGACGGUACCUAAUCAGAAAGCCACGGCUAACUACGUG